GGGUAGAGAUGUAGCAUCAAACAUUCACGGAUGUCCAGGGAGCACGGGCACACAGGCUGCUGGCCAGAGGUACUAGGAAGGUACAGGCGGGAGCUCGACGAGGACGCACCUUCCCCUGUCUUGGAAAGACUAUUAUGAGCACAAUACACUAGUCAUGUCGGAGAUAACAGCUUGACCUCAGCGUGGCUGCAAAAUGAAGCCACGUUUGGCUUUCCUAAGCCAUCAGGAGGCUGCUCACAGUGCUGCUGGACUCUUUAAGCCCUGAGGUCAUGUGAAAAGAAGUUUGCCCUGUGUCCUUCUGUCUCCUGUUGGCUGUCCACAAGAUGGAGAAGGCGGAAGCAACCUGAGGCGUCCUCUUUGUCUGUAAAGAUAGAGAGUCCAUUGUGGAAGGGGGAGAUACAGGAACUAUAUAGGCGAGGCCCUACCGGCCUGCAUCUCUUAUCUCCAGAAUUCUUUUACAGAAAAGAAAAAAAAUAAACUUUUAUCUGGCUUAAGCC
rnacentral:lncRNA from 1 species